rnacentral:rRNA from 1 species
AAGCGGAGGAAGCUUCCGUAGGCCAGCUGAAGAUAUAAAGUGGAUGAGCGGAGGAAGAUUCCAAUAAGUGGGGAAGAUUCCGAAACUGAGAACCACGGAUCUCUUGGUUCUGGGAUCAAUGAGGAACGCAGCGAAAUGCGGUAAGUAAUGUGAAUUGCAGAAUUCAGUGAAUCAUCGAAUCUUUGAACGCACAUUGCGCCCGGCAGCAAUCUGCCGGGCUUGCCUGUCCGAGCGUCAUUUCUCCCCUCGAGCGCGGUUCGGCCCCUAGCGGGCCGCCCGCCGCCCGGUGUUGGGGCACUGCGGGCCACAGCGCCUGCAGCCCUUAAAUGAAGUGCGGUCCCGCCGCGGCGCCCCUGCGUAGUAGUAAAGCACCUCGCAUCGGGUCCGGCGAAGACAGCCGUCGAACCUUUCUUUUGAUGUUUGACCUCGGAUCAGGUAGGGAUACCCGCUGAACUUAAGCA